rnacentral:rRNA from 1 species
AUUGAACGCUGGCGGGAUGCUUUACACAUGCAAGUCGAACGGCAGCAUGGAGAGCUUGCUCUCUGAUGGCGAGUGGCGAACGGGUGAGUAAUAUAUCGGAACGUGCCCAGUAAUGGGGAAUAACUAAUUGAAAGAUUAGCUAAUACCGCAUACGACCUACGGGUGAAAGCAGGGGAUCUUCGGACCUUGCGUUAUUGGAGCGGCCGAUAUCUGAUUAGCUAGUUGGUAGGGUAAAAGCCUACCAAGGCGACGAUCAGUAGCUGGUCUGAGAGGACGAUCAGCCACACUGGAACUGAGACACGGUCCAG